AGGACCUUAGCUCAGAGGUAGAGCGGUGGUCUCCAAAGCCGCGCGUCGGGGGUUCGAUUCCCUCAGGUCCUG
rnacentral:tRNA from 1 species